AUUGAACGCUGGCGGCAGGCCUAACACAUGCAAGUCGAACGGUAACAGGAAACAGCUUGCUGUUUCGCUGACGAGUGGCGGACGGGUGAGUAAUGUCUGGGAAACUGCCUGAUGGAGGGGGAGAACUACUGGAAACGGUAGCUAAUACCGCAUAACGGCGCAAGACCAAAGAGGGGGACCUUCGGGCCUCUUGCCAUGGGAUGUGCCCAGAUGGGAUUAGCUAGUAGGUGGGGUAACGGCUCACCUAGGCGACGAUCCCUAGCUGGUCUGAGAGGAUGACCAGCCACACUGGAACUGAGACACGGUCCAGACUCCUACGGGAGGCAGCAGUGGGGAAUAUUGCACAAUGGGCGCAAGCCUGAUGCAGCCAUGCCGCGUGUAUGGAGAAGGCCUUCGGGUUGUAAAGUACUUUCAGCGGGGAGGAAGGGAGUAAAGUUAAUACCUUUGCUCAUUGACGUUACCCGCAGAAGAAGCACCGGCUAACUCCGUGCCAGCAGCCGCCGUAA
rnacentral:rRNA from 1 species